GGGAAUGUAGCUCAGCGGCACAGCAUCUGCCUGACAAGCGCAAGUCUCUGAGUUCAAUUCCCAGUACCA
rfam:Heterocephalus glaber contig144628, whole genome shotgun sequence.